rnacentral:rRNA from 1 species
CUUGGUCAUUUAGAGGAAGUAAAAGUCGUAACAAGGUUUCCGUAGGUGAACCUGCGGAAGGAUCAUUAACCUUUCAAAUCAGGGUGCGGCGCGGCCCCCGAGGAGCGGAAACAAUCCUUGGGAGGUAUGCGGGGGCUUCGAGCCCCCCAUUUACGCACGCACGACUGCCAUCCUUACUUUACGAGCACCUUCUGUUCUCCCUCGGCGGGGCAACCUGCCGUUGGAACCGAAUAAACUCUUUUUGCAUCUAGCAUUACCUGUUCCGAAACAAACAAUCGUUACAACUUUCAACAAUGGAUCUCUUGGCUCUGGCAUCGAUGAAGAACGCAGCGAAAUGCGAUAAGUAGUGUGAAUUGCAGAAUUCAGUGAAUCAUCGAAUCUUUGAACGCACAUUGCGCCCCUCGGUAUUCCGUGGGGCAUGCCUGUUCGAGCGUCAUCUACACCCUCAAGCUCUGCUUGGUGUUGGGCGUCUGUCCCGCCUCCGCGCGUGGACUCGCCCCAAAUUCAUUGGCAGCGGUCCUUGCCUCCUCUCGCGCAGCACAUUGCGCUUCUCGAGGGGCUACGGCUCGCGUCCAACAAGCACAUUUACCGUCUUUGAC